rnacentral:rRNA from 1 species
GGUAACCUGCCUCAUACAGGGGGAUAACAGUUAGAAAUGACUGCUAAUACCGCAUAAGACCACAGCACCGCAUGGUGCAGGGGUAAAAACUCCGGUGGUAUGAGAUGGACCCGCGUCUGAUUAGGUAGUUGGUGGGGUAACGGCCUACCAAGCCGACGAUCAGUAGCCGACCUGAGAGGGUGACCGGCCACAUUGGGACUGAGACACGGCCCAAACUCCUACGGGAGGCAGCAGUGGGGAAUAUUGCACAAUGGGGGAAACCCUGAUGCAGCGACGCCGCGUGAGCGAUGAAGUAUUUCGGUAUGUAAAGCUCUAUCAGCAGGGAAGAAAAUGACGGUACCUGACUAAGAAGCACCGGCUAAAUACGUGCCAGCAGCCGCGGUAAUACGUAUGGUGCAAGCGUUAUCCGGAUUUACUGGGUGUAAAGGGAGCGUAGACGGAGUGGCAAGUCUGAUGUGAAAACCCGGGGCUCAACCCCGGGACUGCAUUGGAAACUGUCAAUCUAGAGUACCGGAGAGGUAAGCGGAAUUCCUAGUGUAGCGGUGAAAUGCGUAGAUAUUAGGAGGAACACCA